AGGAUGAACGCUAGCUACAGGCUUAACACAUGCAAGUCGAGGUGGCAGCAUGGUCUUAGCUUGCUAAGACUGAUGGCGACCGGCGCACGGGUGAGUAACACGUAUCCAACCUGCCGUCUACUCUUGGACAGCCUUCUGAAAGGAAGAUUAAUACAAGAUGGCAUCAUGAGUCCGCAUGUUCACAUGAUUAAAGGUAUUCCGGUAGACGAUGGGGAUGCGUUCCAUUAGAUAGUAGGCGGGGUAACGGCCCACCUAGUCUUCGAUGGAUAGGGGUUCUGAGAGGAAGAUCCCCCACAUUGGAACUGAGACACGGUCCAAACUCCUACGGGAGGCAGCAGUGAGGAAUAUUGGUCAAUGGGCGAGAGCCUGAACCAGCCAAGUAGCGUGAAGGAUGACUGCCCUAUGGGUUGUAAACUUCUUUUAUAAAGGAAUAAAGUCGGGUAUGCAUACCCGUUUGCAUGUACUUUAUGAAUAAGGAUCGGCUAACUCCGUGCCAGCAGCCGCGGUAAUACGGAGGAUCCGAGCGUUAUCCGGAUUUAUUGGGUUUAAAGGGAGCGUAGAUGGAUGUUUAAGUCAGUUGUGAAAGUUUGCGGCUCAACCGUAAAAUUGCAGUUGAUACUGGAUAUCUUGAGUGCAGUUGAGGCAGGCGGAAUUCGUGGUGUAACGGUGAAAUGCUUAAAUAUCACGAAGAACUCCGAUUGCGAAGGCAGCCUGCUAAGCUGCAACUGACAUUGAGGCUCGAAAGUGUGGGUAUCAAACAGGAUUAGAUACCCUGGUAGUCCACACGGUAAACGAUGAAUACUCCGCUGUUUGCGAUAUACGGCAAGCGGCCAAGCGAAAGCGUUAAGUAUUCCACCUGGGGAGUACGCCGGCAACGGUGAAACUCAAAGGAAUUGACGGGGGCCCGCACAAGCGGAGGAACAUGUGGUUUAAUUCGAUGAUACGCGAGGAACCUUACCCGGGCUUAAAUUGCAGAUGAAUUACGGUGAAAGCCGUAAGCCGCAAGGCAUCUGUGAAGGUGCUGCAUGGUUGUCGUCAGCUCGUGCCGUGAGGUGUCGGCUUAAGUGCCAUAACGAGCGCAACCCUUGUUGUCAGUUACUAACAGGUUCCGCUGAGGACUCUGACAAGACUGCCAUCGUAAGAUGUGAGGAAGGUGGGGAUGACGUCAAAUCAGCACGGCCCUUACGUCCGGGGCUACACACGUGUUACAAUGGGGGGUACAGAGGGCCGCUACCACGCGAGUGGAUGCCAAUCCCCAAAACCUCUCUCAGUUCGGACUGGAGUCUGCAACCCGACUCCACGAAGCUGGAUUCGCUAGUAAUCGCGCAUCAGCCACGGCGCGGUGAAUACGUUCCCGGGCCUUGUACACACCGCCCGUCAAGCCAUGGGAGCCGGGGGUACCUGAAGUGCGUAACCGCGAGGAGCGCCCUAGGGUAAAACUG
rnacentral:rRNA from 1 species